GGCCAAAGCGAAACAUUUUGACGAAAACAUCCAACUCGGCGGCACUCGUGCAGCCAGCAGCCGCGUCGAUGGCGUGUUUUUAAACGUUGAACAUGUACGGGCCGGAAGCCAAACACGUUUGAACGCGCUAUCACUCGUUCGAUAGGAGCCCGGAGGAGGAGGAGGAGGAGGACAAGGAGGCGGAGGCGGAGGCGGAGGCGGGUCGGACUCCCCUUCGCUGUUUCGGUAAAUUGGCGUCGUUCCCCCCGCGAUGGAGGCUGCUGACGGGACCCGCCAGGACCACCGCAGUGUCGGCCACCAGACGUCGACGCCUCGUUGAGCCGCGCAAUUAAGGGCCAAAAAUUGCACACACCUGUCUCCGCUAGUCGACAACCUCGGAAUCAGAGCGAGAAAGAGAGAGAAGUUAACGGGUAAACGUUAACCGCCCCUCCCCGGAGCAUGAUGACCAGCGUAGACGUGACCUAACGAGUCCAACAUUCGUCUUAACCUCUAACCAGGAGUUGUUCGCGAAAGACAUUUUUUUUGUUUUUUUUGUUUUUUUAUAGCUAGCACAUACCGUCUUCCAUUCGACCACCAUGUCAUUCAAAGAGAACCCCUGUCGGAAAUUCCAAGCCAACAUUUUCAACAAGAGCAAAUGUCAGAAUUGUUUUAAACCUCGAGAAUCUCACCUGCUCAACGACGAAGACCUCAACCAGGCAAAACCUAUUUAUGGAGGAUGGUUGCUCCUUGCACCAGAGGGAACCAAUUUUGACAAUCCCUUACACAGAUCAAGGAAAUGGCAAAGGAGAUUUUUCAUUCUUUACGAACAUGGCUUACUCCGCUACGCUCUGGACGAAAUGCCCAGUACUCUUCCUCAGGGUACAAUCAAUAUGAACCAGUGCUCCGAUGUCAUCGAUGGCGAGUGCAGGACCAGUCAGAAGAACUCCUUGUGCAUCCUAACCCCUGAAAAGGAGCACUUCAUUCGGGCUGAGUGUAAAGAAAUUAUUAACGGAUGGCAUGAGGCUCUGAGUGUGUACCCCAGAACAAACAAGCAGAAUCAGAAGAAGAAGCGAAAGGUUGAUAGACCCACUCACCAGGGUGGAGUAACUACAAUCCAGUGUUUUUCCACAAAGGACAUGAAUGGACACCCAUCUCGUUGUGACCUUGCCUCCCAUUUUGUCCUCUCCUCCUCCCUCCCACUCCUUCCAUCCCAAACCCCGAUCCAGGAACCGGGCCCCGCCAAGGUGACGGUGACCAGCAGCAGCAGCAGUGGCGGCAGCAUCCCAUGUCUGCCCAGCAGCAUCGCCAGCGCCGAGCGUGUCCCAAUGAGCCGCGCCACUUUGUGGCAGGAGGAGAACCGCUGGAGUCGGGCCACCAUCCCCUGUAGCCGCAGCGCCUCCUGUCUCAGCCAACUGGGCCAGAGCCAACCAGACUCCACUAUCCCGACUCAAGAUGACGGUGGCACUAUGAGCACUGGGCGCAAAGUACGCGUGGAGAGUGGUUACUUUUCCCUGGAGAAGACUAAGUCUGAGCCCUCUCCAAAACCUGCACAGCAUUCCCAAGCACUGCAGCCACCCCAGCAUCUACCCCUGUCCUCUUCAACAUCCUCCUGUUCUUUAGGAGCUCCCAGUCCCAGGUACAAUUCUGACCUCGAACCCCCAAUUUCCUCCUAUGCUCCCUCCUCAGGAACCCUUGCGUCCCCCAGCUACUCCACCAUCAGUUCCUCCCAGAGCUCACUGGACUCUGAACCCAGCGGUGCUACACCCACCUGGGAGGGUCACAGUGGAGGUGGAGGGAACAGCACUAGUGUGAAUAGUACAGGAAGUAGAGUGGGUCAUUCAGGCAGGCAGUAUGCAGCACUUUCAGACGUGCCACGAGCUCGCAGGAUGACUUACCACGAAGCCUUUCAUUCUGAGAAAAAGCGACAAGAGCUCAGAGCGCGCGCACGGAGUCCUGGGCGUGAAGAGGUGGCGCGGCUGUUUGGAGAGGAGCGCAGGCGUUCGCAAGUAAUCGGAAGAUUUGAGGAGAGUCCAAAUGUGGAGCGCAUGGACACUAGCAGCUCUAGUGAGCUGUCAUCAAACGUCAAUAAUGUCCAGCGACAAGGCCGCAGUGAGAGACGCUAUCUGGCAGACAAACAUGACAUGACAUCAUUGGAUACAGGAAAAGACCGCUCAGUCCCGGAUGUGUCCACCUCCACUUUUGCAAACUUAAGAAGAGCCAAAUCACUUGACCGCAGAGCCACAGAGUCCUCAAUGACGCCUGAUCUGCUGAACUUCAAAAAAGGAUGGAUGACCAAGCUGUACGAAGACGGAAUGUGGAAGAAACACUGGUUUGUUCUCACAGAUCAGAGUCUGCGGUACUACAAGGACUCAAUAGCUGAGGAGGCUUCAGAACUGGACGGUGAUAUCGAUCUUUCCACUUGUUAUGAUGUGAAAGAGUUCCCAGUCCAAAGGAAUUAUGGCUUCCAAAUCCUGUGUAAAGAAGGCGCGUGCACGCUUUCAGCCAUGACCUCCGGAAUCCGCCGCAACUGGAUCCAGGCCAUCAUGAAGAACGCUCGACCCACCAUCGCCCCUGAUGUCACUCGGAAAAACAUCUCACUGAAACUAUCCGUUCUGAAGCCCAGAUCUGUUCCUGAGGAGAAGAUAAAAACACAGGUGCUGCUAGAGCCAUGUCACCAGGUCAAGCCUGAGCCAAGCCCCUGUUCCGAGCCCCCCAAGACCGAUGGCCACAGGCCCACCGGCAACGGGGGCGCCACCCCUCCCUCUGAGCCUCGGAAAAGCAGGGUUCGUGAACGCCGACGGGAGGGCCGCUCAAAGACUUGUGACUGGUCCGAGUUCAAAAUGGAAAAGCCAGACAAGCCGACGAAGGAACGAGCCGACACUGUUGACCUCAGCUCGUCACUUUCCACCACCACACCCUGCUGCUCUAUUUCCUCCUCUCUUUCCUCGUCGUCAUCCUCUCCUGUCUCUACCUCUGCCCUGCAAGCCCCCUGCGUAUCAGAAGCCCACCCGCCCUUGACAAUAGACGAUAACAUCAUGGGGGGCACCCCGAGCCACUUGACAAAUGCCGCUCUUAUCACCUCCACAUUGAACACGAUAUCUCCCGUGCAGCCAUCCUUACCUGAAUGUCAAGAGCAAGGAAGGAUGGAGGUAGACCACCCUACAGCCUCGCACAAUGUCGAGGAGGAUAACUUCAACAUAACUUCAGGCGUGAAGGAGGAGAUCGAGCAGCGGUGGCAUCAGGUGGAAAUGACGCCACUAAGGGAAGAAAAACAAGUGCCCAUCAGUACGGCUCCAGAUAACUCCAGCGCUGACAGACUCCCUGCACAUGAGCUCGCUGCACUGCUAGACAAAGAGUUGGGACAGAAGCAAAAAGAGCUGGACCAACUUCAGAGACAGAACAGUAUGUUAAAGGAGCAGCUGGAUGAUGCACUCGGAAGAGAAAAAAGUGCCAGAGAUGGCUAUGUCCUGCAGAGUGCAACACCCCCUUCCUCCUCACCACACAGAGUCCCAUGCCAACACUUGCACAAGCUGAACCAAGACUUGCAGGGCGAAUUAGAGUCCCAAAAGCGCAAGCAAGACCUCACUCAGCAGCAGAUUCAAAAACUAAAAAGAAGCUACACUGAAGCCCAGACUGCUGUAGACUGCCAUGAGGCUGAUAUCCAGGCCCUGCAGUGUAAGCUGGCAUCUGCAUUGGCUGAAAUCUUAGCAAGUGAACAAGCUGUGGCCCGUAUGCGCAACGAGCUCAAGCUGGAGCAAGACCGUUCAAAGGAGCAAGAGGAGGAAUACGGACGCAGUGAGGCCACCUUACGAGCCCAGCUAAAGGACAGUGAAACUAGACUCCGUGAGGUCGAGGCCAGCCUUUUAGAGAGGAACCAGGCCCUUAGGAAUCUAGAGCACCAGCAGGCCCUUCAGCGAGACCAUAUGAGAGAGAUCCAGAGGCUACAGGAAAGACUGCAAGAGGUGACUGCGCGACUGGUCGCUACAGAAGAAGGUCAGGCGCUGAAGGAGGAACGCCUGAGAAAGGAGCAGCAUAGUAUUCAGGAGAGUCAUGAAAGAGAGAGACAAAAUCUGUGUAGAAGAAUAACCGAAGCGGAGACUGCACAGAAGGAAAUGGAGGACAGACUACUAGAGGCCGAAGAGCAGGUGGAGGCCCUGUUAAGAGGGCGGCAGGCCUCAGCAGGAAUAGAGCACAGUGAGGAAUUGCAGAACUUGCAAGAGGAACUUGCCCAAAAGAUCAACAUGUUGGAGUCACUCAGGGAGAGUGUGCGUAUGCUAGAAGAAGAAAGAGGUCUGCUCACUUGCCGUUGCCAGGAGCUCCAAAACCAGAUUGCAGAGGCAGACCGAGAGGUAACCAAGCUUCGCAAUCGCCUUGAAACAGAGGAGGCAGAUUAUUGCUCUCUGGAAAACUCGUAUGAGAGGGCCACCCAAGAGUUUCAGAGAUUGAGCCAAUUCCUCAGAGAGAAAGACGAAGAGAUUCGUCAGACAAAAGAAAUGUACGAAAGGCUGAUGGAACGCAAGGAGGAGGACUUGAAAGAGGCUCUUGUUAAAAUGACUAUACUUGGCAACAGCUUGGAGGAAACUGAACAGAAGUUGCAAGCUAAGGAAGACCUUCUUUGUCGAAUGAGUCAAAGUCUGUUAUAUCAAGUUGAGCCCGGCAGUGCGGAACAAAAUCUAAAAGCCAAGCUUGUGGUCGCAGAGAACCGCAUUGUAGAGCUUGAGCAGCACCUUAAUGCACUGCAGCUGGGAUAUGCUGAUCUGCACUUAAGGAGGAAACAAGUCCAAGAACAGAGCAAACGGGAACAUGUUAAAACCUCAGCUGCUUUUACUUCAAAUGUGGAGUCCCCAAUGUCAUUCACCAAUCCAUCUAAAAUUGAAGACUCCACAGAUUCUCAAGCUAAGAGACCAAGAAUCUGUUUUGCCAAUAUUCAGUGCCAAAAAUAUAACAACCUGGAUUACCUGGGUGAUUGCCAUACCUUAGAUGACUCAAGACAAGAUGUUAACCAGAAAGACCUUGAUCUAGCUGAAGCACUUUCCUCCCCUGAUGCUGCGUUCCCACACGCUAGUGACUCUGAGAAAUUUAUCUCCAUUGUACAUGCCCUAGAAACUAAACUGCUCGCUACUGAGGAAAAACUAAAAAAUCUCACUCGAAAUUUACAGGAACAGCGUUCCACACAUGCUGAAGACGUGUCCAAGAAAGAUAUGGUGAUGGUUGAAAACAAGCCUUUAGGAUGUGACAGUGGGCCCCAGAUAACUGAUGUAAAUAAUCCUUAUGCCAAGGCCCUCCUUUGUGUGGAAUCAAGUCGAGAGAGAGUCAAGGCUAUUCUGUCUGGCUCUCUUGAUAACACUGAUUCACAGCUUCAGUCAUUGUCAGAGGUGGAAAAUGAGCUAUUCAGUGCAUCAGUGUAUAUCCGCCAUGGACAUAAGACCUUUGAGGAACAAUCACCGUAUCGAGCUCAAACUCAAAUGUCAGAACCUUUAGAUAAAGAAGCAAUUCAUCUCUUUGCCAAAACACUUUCUUUUGAAGCACUUGUUUUGAAUAAAAUGGCUAUGCUGGUACAGACAUCAGAGUCUGACCUCCUCCAAACGCUUUCUGCAAUAUGGGAAGAUAUAGAGAACAUGACGCGUGACAAAGAUUGUUUAGCAAUAGUUUAUGCAGAUGUCUUGACCAGAAAGUUAAUCUUAGAGAAUGCAUUCUGGAAAAACCUGGAAAGAGAGGCAACACCCUGUGACGAUUCAAACACUGCUGGAUCGCUAGAAGCCAGUGUUACAGCUCAUGCGGACAUAAAUACAUCAGCUAUAUUCAAUACUUUAAUCAAAGCGGAACUGUCCUACUCUAUUCAGAACCUCAAGCUUGGCUACGAAGAGAAAUUCAGGCUUCUUGAAGCGGAACUGGCUGAAGCACACCACAAACUCCAUCAAAGGGAAACAGCUUUGAAAGCAAUUAUUGAAGCGUCCAAGAGGUCUGAUUUGAAAAGUGUGAUAAAAGAAGUUAAAACCAACUUUGGGUUGAGUAAACAAAAGUUAGCUGAUAUAUGCCCACCUGAACUUGCUCCGUACACGGAGCAGAUAGAAUUGCAAGAAGCCCGGGAUCUCGCCGAAAAAAUCAUCGAACGGCAUUUGGUUGAGAAAAUGCCAUGUUGUGGUGUUGACUCUGUUGAGUCUCUUCCAACUGCACGUGACAGCCUGGCUACUGAGCUUCAACAACAGGCAGCAAAGCUCCACAAGUAUGCUCAAGAAAUACAAAGCACUGGGAACCAUUCUGAACUGGCUAAAAUGGUCAAUGCACUUUUAGUGCCACAGACAUCACAUAUAUACACACGUACAUCUCUUUGUAUGCGGGAAGCCCUAAUCCAGGCUCAGGUGGUUUAUGUGGCAUGUAGAUUACGAUCCACGCAUGAGCGAAACUUGGGUUGGUGUAAGCAGACCCACCAGAGUAUGGACGCUCUCGUGCAGCAGCAUGCCUGCAGUGUCAGGGCGAUUCAAGAGAAGUAUGAAGCAUCCUUUCAGGAGGAGCGUCAGAACUUCACGGAAACACUGGCCAAUCUCCAGAAGGAGAACAAAACUCUCAAGACUGAAAUAGGCCAACGUUCUAACCAACUCUCACAGCAACAAGAGCAACUGGCCAUCCUGGAGGAACAUUUCCGGAUGCAAAUUGAAGAGCUGAAGCAGAAGCACCAGCAUGAGUUAUGCCUCGCUGAGAAAGACCGUGCUUCAACGGAACUGGCCUUCUUGGAGACUGCAACGGACAGCCAGCGGAAGCUGAAGGAUCUGCUCCUGGAUGUGGACACCAUGAAGGAGCAGCACAAGAGUCAUGUGAAAAAACUAGAGGAAGACUUUGAGCAGAGAAUCUCUCAGCUUCAAUGUAUCUACGAAGACGAGAUUGUCAAAUUGCAUUCCCGACAUAAGGAAGACAUCCGGAAUAUCCAAGAGCCACAAGUGAAUGAGAGAGACUGCGAAGUGGUCUCGGCACCAAUGGAAGAGGAGGAACAAGGCAGGGAGGGGGAUGUGCACACCAUGUCUGAGGGGGACACAAUGGUGCUUCUAAAAGACAGGAUUCAGGAGCUGGAGACUCAGAUGAACAGCAUGAGGGACGAACUGGAGAACAAGCCCCUAGGAGGAGAUGUGGCCAGCCUGAGGGAGAAAUACCAGAGAGACUUUGAAAGUCUUAAGGCCACAUGCGAGCGUGGCUUUGCAGCAAUGGAGGAAACCCAUCACAAGGUGGUUGAGGACCUCCAAAGGCACCACCAGAGGGAGAUUUCCAAACUUAUGGAGGAGCGAGAGAGGCUCCUUGCUGAGGAGACUGCUGCUACUAUUGCUGCUAUUGAAGCUAUGAAGAAUGCCCACAAAGAGGAACUGGAGAAGAACCAGCGCUCCCAGCUCAGCGGCCUGAACUCUGAUAUCGAUGAACUUCGAUUACAAUACGAGGAGGAGCUGCAGUCCAUCCAAAGGGAGCUGGAGGUUUUGUCCGAGCAGUAUUCUCAGAAAUGUCUGGAGAACGCCCACCUGGCUCAGGCCCUGGAGGCCGAGAGGCAGGCCCUCAGGCAGUGUCAGCGAGAGAACCAGGAGCUCAACACUCACAACCAGGAAUUAAAUAACCGUCUGAGUGCGGAGAUCACACGGAUGCGCUCAUGUUUCAGUGGGGAGACGGCGCUGUCGCCUGUUACGCAAGGCAAAGAUGUGUAUGAACUGGAGGUGUUGCUUCGAAUCAAGGAGUCAGAGAUUCAGUAUCUUAAACAGGAAAUCCACUCUUUGAAGGAUGAGCUUCAGUCAGCCCUGCGGGACAAGAAAUACGCCACAGACAAAUAUAAAGACAUCUACACGGAGCUGAGCAUUGUGAAAGCGAAGGCCGACUGCGAUAUCGGCAAACUGAAGGAGAAGCUGCUUAUUGCCACGGAAGCGUUAGGCGAGAGGACCGUCGAUGGAACGGUCACGUCCGGAUAUGACAUCAUGAAAUCCAAAAGUAACCCUGACUUCACGAAAAAAGAACAAUCACUAACCUCCAAGCCAUCCAGAGGUGUCAGGUCAAAGUCUGUCACUGAACAGGUCUCACGGGACAGCUGACACUUCCCGUGUGGGUCUUAGACCCUCCCCCAAAACCCGCCGCGAGAUACGCCGUAGAGCCUGAAAGAGGGACUGACCGUGCAAGAGCGCAUGAAGCUGUUUGAGGGAAAAGAUUCCAAAAAGAUCUGAAUGUCAAGACCCCCGAAACUUCGCUUCUCUUUACUGGCCUUUGUGUUUCAUUGUAUUUUAGUUUUUUGCUGUGACUACGCACUCAUCAUUGGAAGGGUCCGUUUUGAACACAAAACCGUCUGCUUCCACGCAUUGCAAGGUUUUGCAUGUUCAAUUAACGGACUGAACAUAAAAAAUGUCAUUUAAAAAAAAAAAUGGAAAAAACAAAUGUAUUUAAUGUUCUUGCUGAAAUUGGAGAUGUGUGUAAUAAGCUGUGAGAGGGAUACAUGACAGCGUUUUUAAUUUUCCCAAAUGCCAAAAUAGACAACAUUUAUACAGUCUGAAUAAUAUAUAUACCUGUAUAGUAUAUGUAUUUCCUGAUAUGAAGUAUUUGUCUGCUGUAUUUUAUUAUUAUUGUUACAAUUUCUAUAUCGGAAUGAUUUUACUGUGUUUUGUGUACAUAACUACUGGACGUACAGUGUGUAAGAGCAUGGUUUGUUGAUGUGUUGGGCAUCUGCUGUACUAUAAACUAGUUUGACUGAUGGUGGGUGGAAUUUAUGUGAUGAUGCUUACGUAAGAUUCUUUUUUUUUUUUUUAAUUUUUAUAUAAAAGUACAUUGUGUGUUGGGGGAGUGAAAGGUUGGGAUUGCACUUAUCACUUGACUACUUGAGGAACCUUUUUUUUUUUCUUUCUCUGUCUCUCUCUCGUCCAAUCGAUGUGAUUUUCGAUUAUUGCAGUGCAACCGAACACGGUGAUUGGCUGAUAACUUCAAUCUGGCAUUUGUCUUAAUUUGAAUUUAGUGAGACAAAUUCCUCUUAGGACUUUACAUGAUUCUGUUUGUGCAUGUGGCCUGCUUUUCCUGUUUUGACGCUUGAGUGUGGAGUUCUCCUACAUAAGCUUUGCCUUGCGAGUCCUACUGUUUCACCGUUACUGUGAGCGGCAAUUCCCCGACCCCUGACCUCUCGCUUCCAAUUCUAGUUGUGCCUCAACCCAGUGAAGAACACAAACCACUUGCAAUAAAAUCAAAUUUAAAAACUAACUGCAGCUAUGGAAACACACUGUAUAGUAUUCAAAACGCUUUGGAAAUGUACAUAUAUAGUAUAUAUGUGCCACAUGGAACACUUGUGCUCUUGUUUUAAACUUUGCUCAUUAGCUCUUUAUGAAAUAUAUAUUAUUUUUUAUUUGAAUGUAUAAAAUUAAAUAAAUGUUUGGAAAAUAUGUAAA